GACCUCGUGGCGCAGUAACGGUAGCGUGUCUGACUCCAGAUCAGAAGGUUGCGUGUUCAAAUCACGUCUGGGUCA